UGCAGUCGAGGGGUAUAAGUCUUCGGACUUAGAGACCGGCGCACGGGUGCGUAACGCGUAUGCAAUCUACCUUUCACAGAGGGAUAGCCCAGAGAAAUUUGGAUUAAUACCUCAUAGUAUUAUGGAAUGGCAUCAUUUUAUAAUUAAAGUCACAACGGUGAAAGAUGAGCAUGCGUCCCAUUAGCUAGUUGGUAAGGUAACGGCUUACCAAGGCUACGAUGGGUAGGGGUCCUGAGAGGGAGAUCCCCCACACUGGUACUGAGACACGGACCAGACUCCUACGGGAGGCAGCAGUGAGGAAUAUUGGACAAUGGGCGCAAGCCUGAUCCAGCCAUGCCGCGUGCAGGAUGACGGUCCUAUGGAUUGUAAACUGCUUUUGCACAGGAAGAAACACUGAUUCGUGAAUCAGCUUGACGGUACUGUGAGAAUAAGGAUCGGCUAACUCCGUGCCAGCAGCCGCGGUAAUACGGAGGAUCCAAGCGUUAUCCGGAAUCAUUGGGUUUAAAGGGUCCGUAGGCGGUCUAGUAAGUCAGUGGUGAAAGCCCAUCGCUCAACGGUGGAACGGCCAUUGAUACUGCUGGACUUGAAUUACUGGGAAGUAACUAGAAUAUGUAGUGUAGCGGUGAAAUGCUUACAGAUUACAUGGAAUACCAAUUGCGAAGGCAGGUUACUACCGGUGGAUUGACGCUGAUGGACGAAAGCGUGGGUAGCGAACAGGAUUAGAUACCCUGGUAGUCCACGCCGUAAACGAUGGAUACUAGCUGUUGGAAGCAAUUUCAGUGGCUAAGCGAAAGUGAUAAGUAUCCC
rnacentral:rRNA from 1 species